rnacentral:rRNA from 1 species
UGGGGAAUAUUGCACAAUGGGCGCAAGCCUGAUGCAGCCAUGCCGCGUGUGUGAAGAAGGCCUUCGGGUUGUAAAGCACUUUCAGCGAGGAGGAAGGUGGUGAGCUUAAUACGCUCAUCAAUUGACGUUACUCGCAGAAGAAGCACCGGCUAACUCCGUGCCAGCAGCCGCGGUAAUACGGAGGGUGCAAGCGUUAAUCGGAAUUACUGGGCGUAAAGCGCACGCAGGCGGUUUGUUAAGUCAGAUGUGAAAUCCCCGGGCUCAACCUGGGAACUGCAUUUGAAACUGGCAAGCUAGAGUCUCGUAGAGGGGGGUAGAAUUCCAGGUGUAGCGGUGAAAUGCGUAGAGAUCUGGAGGAAUACCGGUGGCGAAGGCGGCCCCCUGGACGAAGACUGACGCUCAGGUGCGAAAGCGUGGGGAGCAAAACAGGAUUAGAUACCCUGGUAGUCCACGCUGUAAAACGAUGUCGAUUUUGGAGGUUGUGCCCUUGAGGCGUGGCUUCCGGAGCUAACGCGUUAAAUCGACCGCCUGGGGAGUACGGCCG